rnacentral:rRNA from 1 species
ACUCGAGUGGCGAACGGGUGAGUAACACGUGGGUGAUCUGCCCUGCACUUCGGGAUAAGCUUGGGAAACUGGGUCUAAUACCGGAUAGGAGCCAUCUUUAGUGUGGUGGUCGGAAAGUUUUUCGGUGUAGGAUGAGCUCGCGGCCUAACAGCUUGUUGGUGGGGUAAUGGCCUACCAAGGCGGCGACGGGUAGCCGGCCUGAGAGGGUGUACGGCCACAUUGGGACUGAGAUACGGCCCAG